CCCCAGACUCCUACGGGAGGCAGCAGUGGGGGAUAUUGCACAAUGGGGGGAACCCUGAUGCAGCGACGCCGCGUGAGGGAAGACGGCCUUCGGGUUGUAAACCUCUGUCGCAGGGGACGAAGGAGAUGACGGUACCCUGUGAGGAAGCCACGGCUAACUACGUGCCAGCAGCCGCGGUAAUACGUAGGUGGCGAGCGUUGUCCGGAAUUACUGGGUGUAAAGGGAGCGUAGACGGCGAUGCAAGCCAGAUGUGAAAGCCCGGGGCUCAACCCCGGGACUGCAUUUGGAACUGUGUGGCUGGAGUGUCGGAGAGGCAGGCGGAAUUCCUAGUGUAGCGGUGAAAUGCGUAGAUAUUAGGAGGAACACCAGUGGCGAAGGCGGCCUGCUGGACGAUGACUGACGUUGAGGCUCGAAAGCGUGGGGAGCAAACAGGAUUAGAUACCCUAGUA
rnacentral:rRNA from 1 species